AUAAAUGAGUUAUGUUGGACCUUAUUGUGCAUUGAAGUGCAACAUAUGACA
rnacentral:sRNA from 1 species